UCAGAACAGAACAGAAUCUUCAUCAUCACACAAACCAAAAGAACAACAAUGACUUUCAUCAUCAUCUUCAUCUGGACACUGACUUUCUACAUUCAGGAGAGCUGUGGACAAGUGACAGUGACUCAAACACCACAAAUAACAUCCAUUACACAAGGAGGAACUGUUGAAAUCAGCUGUAAAACAAGUCAGCCAAUUUCUGGCUGUAGUGACUGUGUUUCAUGGUAUCAUCAGAAACCUGGAGAAGCUCAUAAACUCCUCAUUUAUUACAUCAGGAGACUUCAGUCAGGAACUCCAUCAAGAUUCAGUGGCAGCGGAUCAGACUAUGGAAGUGAUUUCACUUUGACCAUCAGUGGAGUUCAGACUGAAGAUUCAGGAGAUUAUUACUGUCUGAGUUUACACAGUGGUGAUGGUUAUUUUGUAUCACUGUGGUACACUUUCGGCAGCGGCACCAGACUGGAUGUUGGCACCAACAGUCCCCCUAAAGUGAUCGUCCUGCCGCCGUCCAGUGAAGAGAUUUCCAGAAAGCAAACAGCAACACUGAUGUGUGUGGCCAACAAGGGCUUCCCCUCAGACUGGAGUCUGAACUGGAAGGUGGACGGGAUCAGCAGCAGGUCUCAGUACAGCAGUGUUGCUCUCCUGGAGAAGGACGGUCUGUACAGCUGGAGCAGCAGUCUGACUCUCUCUGAGCAGGAGUGGAGCUCAGUGAUCUCAGUCAGCUGUGAGCUCACACAGAAAGACCAGCGUGAUAAAGUCACUGGAGAAUUGAGGAGAGAUCAGUGUUCACAGUAGAUCCACUCACUCUCUCCUCUGUCUCACAUCAAGACUAACAGACUAACUGUGUUUCUCUCUCUCAUCUCACAUCUCUUUUC